rnacentral:rRNA from 1 species
UGGGGGAAUAUUGCACAAUGGGCGCAAGCCUGAUGCAGCGACGCCGCGUGAGGGAUGACGGCCUUCGGGUUGUAAACCUCUUUCACCAGGGACGAAGCGCAAGUGACGGUACCUGGAGAAGAAGCACCGGCCAACUACGUGCCAGCAGCCGCGGUAAUACGUAGGGUGCGAGCGUUGUCCGGAAUUACUGGGCGUAAAGAGCUCGUAGGUGGUUUGUCGCGUUGUUCGUGAAAACUCACAACUCAAUUGUGGGCGUGCGGGCGAUACGGGCAGACUAGAGUACUGCAGGGGAGACUGGAAUUCCUGGUGUAGCGGUGGAAUGCGCAGAUAUCAGGAGGAACACCGGUGGCGAAGGCGGGUCUCUGGGCAGUAACUGACGCUGAGGAGCGAAAGCGUGGGGAGCGAACAGGAUUAGAUACCCUGGUAGUCCACGCCGUAAACGGUGGGUACUAGGUGUGGGUUCCUUCCUU